UACGGGGGGGGCAAGCGUUGUUCGGAAUUACUGGGCGUAAAGGGUUCGUAGGUGGCCAACUAAGUCAGACGUGAAAUCCCUCAGCUUAACUGGGGAACUGCGUCUGAUACUGGUUGGCUUGAGUGCAGGAGAGGAAUGCGGAAUUCCAGGUGUAGCGGUGAAAUGCGUAGAUAUCUGGAGGAACACCGGUGGCGAAGGCGGCAUUCUGGACUGCAACUGACACUGAAGAACGAAAGCCAGGGGAGCAAACGGG
rnacentral:rRNA from 1 species